UACAGAGGGUGCGAGCGUUAAUCGGAAUUACUGGGCGUAAAGCGCACGUAGUCGGCUUUGCAAGUCGGUUGUGAAAUCCCCGGGCUCAACCUGGGAACUGCAUCCGAGACUGCAUUGCUAGAGUAUGGGAGAGGGAAGCGGAAUUUCUGGUGUAGCAGUGAAAUGCGUAGAUAUCAGAAGGAACAUCAGUGGCGAAGGCGGCUUUCUGGACCAAUACUGACGAUCAGGUGCGAAAGCGUGGGGAGCAAACAGG
rnacentral:rRNA from 1 species